rnacentral:miRNA from 1 species
UAUAAAACAAUCAUUUUAUGGUUUCCGUAUUUGGAUGGCCUGAUCCAAACACUUGGGAAUGUUGCUCGCUUUUCUUAACUCUCGCAACAUUCCCGCGUGUUUGGAUCAGGCCAUCCAAACACGGAAACCAUAAAGUAAUUGUAUAAUA